rnacentral:rRNA from 1 species
GACGAACGCUGGCGGCGUGCUUAACACAUGCAAGUCGAGCGGUAAGGCCCUUCGGGGUACGACGAGCGGCGAACGGGUGAGUAACACGUGGGUGACCUGCCUCUAGCUCUGGGAUAAGCCUGGGAAACUGGGUCUAAUACCGGAUAUGACUCCACGGCGCAUGUUGUGGGGUGGAAAGCCUUGUGUGGCUAGAGAUGGGCCCGCGGCCUAUCAGCUUGUUGGUGGGGUGANGGCCUACCAAGGCGACGACGGGUAGCCGGCCUGAGAGGGCGACCGGCCACACUGGGACUGAGACACGGCCCAGACUCCUGCGGGAGGCAGCAGUGGGGAAUCUUGCGCAAUGGGCGAAAGCCCUGACGCAGCGACGCCGCGUGAGGGAU